UGUGUCAUGCAUAGACUAAUUGAACUGGUGUUUUUGGUGUUUCAAUUUGAACAGGUUGAUUUGCAGGACAUGCAGAUUACACAGGCUGUUUUGUAGAUUCCGAUCCAAUCAGAAAGUGUCCUUAUGUAUAUAGAGGCACACACUUUUUAACCUUGACUAUAGACUUCUGUAUACUUGGAUGCGCAGAUGAUGGGUUUAAAUAUGCCGGUAUGCAGUCUCGGCAAUGGUGCCAUUGUGGUAAUGACCCAUACUUUGAUCUUGCAAAACAUCCAAAUGUCAGCGAUUCAGAAUGUAAUACACCGUGUUUUGGGAACUGGACACAAAUGUGUGGUGCAGAUUGGAGGCUAUCUAUAUAUCGUAUUAGAGACGUCAUAAGUGUUCCAACUUUUCAGCAGUAUGGAACAGCAUUCUACGGUAGAGCCAUUUCAAGUCAGCCGUUGAAAUCAAAAUUUAUACACAGUAAUGGUUUGAAAGCGAAAGUUGACUGUGCGAAGGCAUGUGGAUAUAUCAUUGACUGUAAAGUGUUUUCUAUUUCCUCGCAGACUAAACAUUGUCACCUGUUUGAAAAGACUAUAAAGCUUUGUGAUGCCAAUAUCACGGAUCCAAAUACGUCAGUCCAUCUCCUUUUAUGAACAGUUUAUGGCUAUCUUGAUUAUGUAGCUAUCUUCCCAGUUUAAACGAACAAAUUUUAUAAAAAAUGUCUAAUACACAAGGUGCCCUCUAUCAUUUCGAGGUCCAGUCAUCUUUUUGUUAUUUCACUGUGCAAUUUAUGUUUUACUUUUACGACGAAUACAUGGCGAAGAAAGGCCAUGGAGAUAAUUUUGUACAUUGAAACCCUUAUUUAUAUAUGAUAGUAGCAAUACUAGCAAAUGUUUGUUUUUCUUCAUGUUUAUUAUCUUAUAUGAAUUCAUUCUCGAAGCAUUGUAUGUUUAUUUCAGAUAUAGAAAUAACCAUACAUGUAACCAGGAGGGUCUCGAGAAAUGGGUUGGGCUUUCCUAAACCUCUUUGAAAACUAUAAAGAUUUUAUUAAAUUGUUUUUGAACAUU